GCAGACGACGCUGGCGGCGUGCCUAAUACAUGCAAGUCGAGCGAAUGAUGAAGAAGCUUGCUUCUUCUGAUUUAGCGGCGGACGGGUGAGUAACACGUGGGCAACCUACCUAGUAGAUUGGGAUAACUCCGGGAAACCGGGGCUAAUACCGAAUAAUUCAUUUCACCUCAUGGUGAGAUGCUGAAAGGCGGUUUCGGCUGUCACUACUAGAUGGGCCCGCGGUGCAUUAGCUAGUUGGUGGGGUAAUGGCCUACCAAGGCAACGAUGCAUAGCCGACCUGAGAGGGUGAUCGGCCACAUUGGGACUGAGACACGGCCCAAACUCCUACGGGAGGCAGCAGUAGGGAAUCUUCCACAAUGGACGAAAGUCUGAUGGAGCAACGCCGCGUGAGUGAUGAAGGUUUUCGGAUCGUAAAACUCUGUUGUAAGGGAAGAACAAGUACGUUAGUAACUGAACGUACCUUGACGGUACCUUAUUAGAAAGCCACGGCUAACUACGUGCCAGCAGCCGCGGUAAUACGUAGGUGGCAAGCGUUGUCCGGAUUUAUUGGGCGUAAAGCGCGCGCAGGUGGUUUCUUAAGUCUGAUGUGAAAGCCCACGGCUCAACCGUGGAGGGUCAUUGGAAACUGGGAGACUUGAGUGCAGAAGAGGAAAGUGGAAUUCCAAGUGUAGCGGUGAAAUGCGUAGAGAUUUGGAGGAACACCAGUGGCGAAGGCGACUUUCUGGUCUGUAACUGACACUGAGGCGCGAAAGCGUGGGGAGCAAACAGGAUUAGAUACCCUGGUAGUCCACGCCGUAAACGAUGAGUGCUAAGUGUUAGGGGGUUUCCGCCCCUUAGUGCUGCAGCUAACGCAUUAAGCACUCCGCCUG
rnacentral:rRNA from 1 species